AUUGAACGCUGGCGGCAGGCCUAACACAUGCAAGUCGAGCGCGCGGCGGACGAGUGAGUAAUGUAUGGGGACCGCCCGAUAGAGGGGGAUAUCUACUGGAAAGUGUGGAUUAUACCGUACAUUAUCGGUUAACCUAUAUGGGAUUAGCUGGUAGGUGGGGUAAGGGCUCACCUAGGCGACGAGCUCUAUCUGGUCAGAGAGGAUGGUCAGCCACACUGGGACUGAGACACGGCCCAGCCUCCUACGGAGGCAGCAGGGGGGAAUAUUGCACACUGGGCGCAAGCCUGAUGCGGACAGGCCGCGUGUAUGAAGAAGGCUUUAGGGUUGUAAAGUACUUUCAGCGGGGAGGCGUUACCCGCAGAAGAAGCACCGGCUAACUCCGUGCCAGCAGCCGCGGUAAUAC
rnacentral:rRNA from 1 species